UGGAAUUUAGGUGGUUUCAGUGUAUCAUAGUUUUGGAGCCAUAUUGGAGCCGAUUGUAUUCUGGGGUAAACGAGAUCACGGAAAGGAUUAGCUUAACAUUACCAUAAUCAACUAGACGGACGUUAGAGCGGAAACGAAACAAAACCCCCAUUCCUCAAAGGCGAAUUUGUCUUCAAUCUGUAGGAUUAUCAACAGAGGUCUUCACGGCCAUUCGGCAGACGAGACACGGAAGACGAGCGGUGGUUUGAAGAGCUGCGUCUUUCGAUCGGUGAUCAGGCGGUUCUUCCCAGAGUUCUUCAAUACGCCCCGGCAGCAAGAAUUCAAUGUUUGGAAAGUGAUUUUCAACAUCACCGGAGACGGUCGAAUACUGGCCGGACUUUUCAAAGGCCCAGCACUUUGAAAGUUUGAUGCUAAAGUUGGAAUAGGCUACCUGCAGGGGCUUAGCGCCCAUAAGGGGUCACCAGUUAGCCGUGCGAGCAAAGGCGUAGGAUUGCCAAUCCGCAAAAGCUUUCAACUAAUAACUGAGGAAAUGCUAAUAGAACACUAAGUUGACAAGGAGUCCGAAGCAGGACAAACUCCAGUUUAAAUGUAGAGGAAGCCUAUUAAGCACAAUUAUUAGCUUCGCAGUUUCUAAACCAAGUUCCCAUUUAUGUAUUCGUAUAUCAAGUCUAUUAUGCAGUAUAUCAUAGCUAUAACAUGA